rnacentral:tRNA from 1 species
UGGGGUAUCGCCAAGCGGUAAGGCACCAGGUUUUGAUCCUGGCAUAGCCCUGGUUCGAAUCCAGGUACCCCAG